AAACGCAGUGCUACAUCCUUUUCAAUUAAUUAAACUUUUCAAAAAUAAUUCUCAAAACUAAACCACAACCAAGAGCCCUCUCCUUUUUUUCUACAAUCUCAAUGUAUGGAUAAUAUUGCAAUGAGCGCAGAUAGAACACGCAACAUUCAAAUUUCUUCUCUUAUCCCCAUCGCAAUCGUAGUCUUCCUCACCAAUCGCCCUAUUGAAAUCUUAUACUAGGUUCAAAUCUUUUUUUUCUCGAAUUAUUCAGUCCGAAUAUCUAAUUUUUUUAAUCGUUUAUGUGGUAUUUGCCUUGAGUUCGUAACUUGAAUCGGUAUUGCAAUACUAUUGACUGUAUGUUAGGAAGAUAAGCUAUUUUCUAUGCUUACAUUUCCUUGGAAAAAUUUACAUUGGUUGAUACUAUCACAGGGCAAAAAUUGUUACCAAAGGCAUCAGGGUACCCUAAGAUAUCAGCUUUAUUGUCCCUUAAUUCAAGAUCGGCAGGCGACUUGAACGUUUAAAUCUUCGGCUCCCACCAAAAAUCUCUAAUUAUUUUGUGCAAAAAAGAUUUAUGUUGUAUGCAUGCCAAGUGUUUGUAAAAAUGUUUUUUAGGCUUCUCUUCUUAGCGAUAAGCUAUUCCAAUCUUUUGGAAUAAUUUUUUUUGGUCUAACUUCUUGAUCAACAUUUCAACUAGCUUUUGGAAUUUGAACUAACCUGAUGGGAAGAAAAUUUCAUUUCAUGUUAUUAGUAUUUGUUUUGUUUUGGAUGGUGGAAAGCUAAAGGGGAAAGAGAUCAAAUGGGCGAAUAUUAUUUAUUUCCUGAAGUUGUAAGAGAGAAUGUUCAAGAAGCAUAAAAUGGUAUUUCCUGGUAGCAACAUUCUCUUCACUCGACCAUCUGUUUUCAGUAUUUUUGUACAUAAACUUGUGAUUUCUACCCAAUGCAUAUGUUACUUAAAACUCUUCAUUUUUAUUGAAGUACAUAUGUCCAACACCCGUGUCUAAUACAUGUUUAGAUGUAGGUAUGGGGCUUGAUCCCCCAAUUUAUGGAAGAACUUAGAAAAAUGGAACAUUCUUGUGCUGGAUAUAUACCCAUAUCCUAUGCUCAUAACUGAGUCCAAAUAAGAUAUAGCCCAGUGCAGAUAUGGCCUUGCUAGAUAGCCCUAGUUACGUUUGUUGUGGAUUUGCUUUCAUGAUAUAGAUUAAUUGGACAGCAUACAACGUAAAUUUGCAAGUCUAUUGGUACUUGAAUGGCCGAAAAGAAAAAUAAUAUACGUUAGCUGUAGUUUGUUGUUGUAAUAUAAUUCCUCAUUCUUGUUAUUAUGGCCAAUGUCAUUUUUCUAUGAUUUUAUGAUGAAAUUUUUUCAUAUAGGAGUGGUUGCCAUCCAAUGUUUCUGUUAUCACACCCACGAUCCGAUGUAUAUGAUAUGC
rnacentral:lncRNA from 1 species